rnacentral:rRNA from 1 species
UACGGAGGGUGCGAGCGUUGUCCGGAAUCACUGGGCGUAAAGCGCACGUAGGCGGCUUUCUAAGUCAGGGGUGAAAUCCUGGAGCUCAACUCCAGAACUGCCUUUGAUACUGGAGAGCUCGAGUCCGGAAGAGGUGAGUGGAACUGCGAGUGUAGAGGUGAAAUUCGUAGAUAUUCGCAAGAACACCAGUGGCGAAGGCGGCUCACUGGUCCGGUACUGACGCUGAGGUGCGAAAGCGUGGGGAGCAAACAGG